UAUAAAGAUAGAAAUUAGAGUUUAAUAAUUAAAAAUCAAAAAACGUUUAUCCGUGAAAAAUUAUUAUCAAUAAUAUUUUCUAUCUAAAAUAUUUAUACGUAAUUUCUCAAGUUUUAGAAUUGUUCAUAUCUAUCUCAUUAUAGUUCGAAUCGUGGAAUUCUAAACGGUGCAAUUCGAGCGAGAACUUUGAACUCCAUACGUUUUUUGUAGAAGAAAAUAAUUAAUGCAGUGACAUAUUUAUCAUUUUUUCUCUCUUAUAACACAAUAAAAAUAAUUAUAUCGUGAAACAUUGUCGAAGUAAAAACAGGUAAAAAUUUGUAAAAUUUUAAGACGUUCGAGGUUUAAAACGAGCGUGGAAUAGACAUCUUUUAGACGUCGUGUGCUGUCUGGGACGAGUUGCACGCAGCGGUGCUCACGAGUUAUGCGAGAAAGCGCGAGCUGGUAACCGCUGGUAGCCGCAGAGAUCCCACGAAGAAUUUAACGAGCCACACUGUAGAACAUUCCUUCGGACGCUUUCUUUUCUGGGCGUUCCCGAUCGUACCCUUGUCUUGCGCGUAAGAGCGAUUUAUCAAUCGCGGAAAACCGUCCGUAGAAUCGCGAUCGGAUCGCGGUUUAUCGUGAAUUUAUCCAUGGGAGUGCAAGGAGGAGGUUCUCGGAUGACCUUUGUUGCAUGGCUGUUGUUCCUAUCGCCAGUCCAAGUUUCCGUAAUAUUAUUCUAUGAUUGUGAUGCCAAUAUUAAUUCCGACCCGUGUUUAUGCCGCGGUCGGAAACUUGAAUUGGCGAUGCUCGUGAGAAAAGUGAAUUAAAUCGAUAUUAAAUCGUUACGAUCGAUCGAUAAGUUCCGUCGAUAAGUUCACGAUGAUAUUAUAGGUUAAGGAGGCGAGCAGAGAUCGCCAUUUAUUUUUUUAUUCUCGUGAUUAAUUAUUUCUCGUUCGAUGUCAAUUGGCCGAGGCCGUUCGAAGGAAAGUGAUAAAAUGAUGGAACGAUUAAAAAA